rnacentral:lncRNA from 1 species
GGCGGAUCCAGGAUUUUGGAAAGGGGGGCGAAAUUUUUAAAGAUCGCCGAGCGGAGCGAGGCGAAAAUUUUUUUUGGGCCCUUUUUUGGGCUAAAACAUAAAAUAAAGUAAUAUGCACUUUUUUUAAAAACCGUUCAUGGCGUGGGGCAUAUUUUGUAGUUGCUGUAAAGGUGUUUAGGGUUGGACAUUUUCGAUGCUGUAUUCUCCCUAUUUUUUGUCUAUCAUAUAAGAACAUUCGGGUCAGACAUUAAAACCCCUGCCACAAAAAAAUAUGCCCGUUUUAUUCAUCAUGUUCAUUUAAUGCCAUACAAUUCUGUUGGAAAUAUUCAUUUCUAAUAGCAAAAAGGUGGACAAGAUUUUUGUUUUCAAUCCAGGUACGGCCAACAUUUUUCAUAAAGGUCACACCCAGCAGGCAGGUUGCAGUCUGGUCUUGAAAAAAAGUAUUCCAUAUAUCAGUUCGGCGAAACAGACAUUCCGGGUAGACAUUACGGCAAAAAUCAGAGUCAUUUUUUUUCUCUCAAAUAUCUAAGACUGUCUCCUUAAAUCCAUUGGUUCGUACUUAAUUACGACUAUCUAGAGCUUAAAACGACUGCCCCAGGGAUCAUUAUUCAGCUAUGUUAUUUUAAAAUAGGCUGGGGCGUUUGGGGCUUUUCGUAGUUAGAUGACUCUUUUGCUGUGGAGUGAGAGUCUAUAGAGUAUUACUUUCUGUUUGGUAGUAUAGUGAAAUAGAAGUCAAUACUUCGUUGCUAUGAAGGUGUCAUGAUUGUCAUCCUCACUCAGCCUGAGCAUUGUGUUACUGUAAUUUGACAGAGAGACGCACUGGUCGACUCCACCGUAGGGAAUCACAUGACUUUGAUAAUCAGUAAAUUUCAGCAAAAUAUAUCUUUCUAAGUAAAGAAUUGUCGCAUAAAAAUUAAAUACUAGAGUACUAAUUAAGGUACAAAGGAAAUGGCAAAGUCUGAUUAAUCAUUUUACCAAAAAAAAAAAAAAAAUGUCCGAGCAAAGGGGGGGCGUACGCCCUCUACGCCCCCCCUCUGAAUCCGCCACUGAUUA